GACGAACGCUGGCGGCGUGCUUAAUACAUGCAAGUCGAACGGAAAGGCCCUGCUCUUGUGGGGUGCUCGAGUGGCGAAGGGGGGAGUAACACGUGAGUAACCCCCCCUUGACUUUGGGAUAACUUCAGGAAACUGGGGCUCAUACCGGAUAGGAUCUCCUGCUGCAUGGUGGGCGUUGGAAAGAUUCGGCGGUUCGGGAUGGACUCGCGGCUUAUCAGCUGCUUGGUGGGGUAGUGGAUUACCAGGGCUUUGACGGGUAGCCGGCCUGAGAGGGGGACCGGCGACAUUGGUACUGAGAGACGGCCCAGACGCCUACGGGCGGCAGAGGUGGAGAGUAUUGCGCAAUGGGCGGAAGCCUGAUGCGGCAGCGCCGCGUUCGGGAUGACGUCCUUCGAGUUGUAAACCGCUUUCGCCUGUGACGAAGCGUGAGUGACGGUAAUGGGUAAAGAAGCCCCGGCUAACUACGUG
rnacentral:rRNA from 1 species